AAAGCAAGGAACUUUAUUUUUGGUAAAACCAGACGACUGAUUUGAAUAAGGCACAUUCUUCAACAUCCAUAAGAAACAAAUGCAAAAGCAGUCACAGCAAGGAGUGAAGGGGCACACCAAGACCCUUGACACGAACACUGGCACAGCCCCUUCUUUUUUGAUAAGUAGAGAAAAAGCAAAAUGCAGUUGUUUGAAAGUCAGCGUGCUCUUCUUUAUUUGAUGACAGGGAUGGUGAAUAGGUAUACAUUUCGUUUCAUCUGAUCAACGAGGAGCAGCUGCCUAAGCUUCGUGCUGAGGAGGCUGCGGCCCAGCGUGGGCUCCGGGAAAGGACGAUUGAGAUCGCUGCGCCUAACGUCUUGCCAACUCUACCCUGCCGUGAUGUUUCUCGGCCUGCUGCUUCCCAAUCCAAAGCUGCUUCCCAAGUCCAAAGCAUCCUUUCAUUCCGGUGAGUGCUCUUAGCCAACGGCAAAUUUAGUUUCUGAGCCCCCAAUGAAGGAAAGUGGGCGGUCAUUUCCCAGGACAGAAACCCAUCUCUGGAUUUUUACAAGCUGAAAUAGAUACUGCAGGCAGUACUGGCAGGGAAGUCACUGAA